GAAACCCUAAAAAAUAAGGGUUCAUAAAUUUGUGCUCCUCAUCCUUGUCCUUCAUAUUACUGCAAAUGCUUGGAGCUUUGUGGAAUUCCACCUUCCUCCACCAUUUGUUGUGGGUCCUUAACCCCUUUUUCUUGUUCUUUCUAAUAUCAUUCUUGCUUAGCUUGUAGAGGUAUGUUUUUGUAUUUUGUUCUUCAUUUCUUUCCCGCAAUUUUCGACUUCCUCUAUUUCAAUAAUGGAGACUUAAUCUGGUGGUCUAGUGGUUUCCUAAGAUAGAUCUUAUAAAGGAACCAAGUCCGUGGUCUGGCUUUCAAUUCCUUGAGAGAGAUAUUUUGGUUGGAUGCAUUUUCUAUGUGGAAUCCAGAAAAGAGUUGGUUGUUGAUUCUUCAGCACAAGCCUGGUAGCAUGAUCGCGCCGCAUGUGACUUGUUGUAGAACUCUCACAAUUUUCUUAAUAUUUUGUAUGUUCAUUUGACUAUUGAAUCUCAGACUCAGUCUUGAUAACAUUCUUCAUUCCUCUGUUCCGACUUUAAAACUCCAUAACACUUCAAAUUUUCUUUCAAACAUGCUUAUUAGCUGUAAAAAAAUUGUGCAAACAAGUACACUCAUAAGCAUAUAAUGAUUAUAAUAAUGAUUAAAUGAUGGUAUAAAAACACAUAUAAAGAC